GUUAAAUCACCAUGGCACUAAUCACUUUAAUUCAUACGCAAAUAUAAAACAUAACAAACAACACUUACAACAUAUUAAUUACAGAAAAUUAUCAAAGUUAGAAUUAAAUUUAUACAGGUAACCAUUAUUAGGAGAUUAAUCAGGACAAAUCUAGCCAGUAUUUAGUACAUGUUUCUUAAAAAAACAUGACUCUUACAUUAAUGAAAUGUAGAAAUAAAAAUUUUCAACUAAUAAGAUUUCAAAUCAAGCCUUCAUUCAUCUCUCUACUGCAGCCACGAUCUAGACCUGGCCUCCAGUUCCUGGAACCAAGGGUCCAGUUCAAUGCAGUUUGAGCCUAUCCGACAAUUGAACCUUUUUUAUUUUCCCUUUUCUAAAGAAAACAUAUCAAAAUGAACUGAACCAGCCCAGUACCAGACCAGUUCAGGUCCAAUUACGGGUCUUAACCAGACCAUUG
rnacentral:misc_RNA from 1 species